GAAUGCCAGAAUGCAGCCUACACUGUGGAACAAGAUAAUACUCAUUGAUGGCUCAAAAUGAAGCUACAGCAGAAGGCCUUGGGGGAUCAACCUCUACGUCAACUUUUCACUUGGGUGCAUGUAAAAUUUCAAAUAAUUGUACAUAUGGUUGAAAAGGCAUAUCCAGUUGCUUUAUUCAAAAUCAUUUGUUGAAAGCGUCUGUAACCUUACCAAUUUCCAGAUUGAAUUUCAAGUGGUUAAAAACCAGUCUUUAUUUCUUCAAAGUAUUAUUGUCCUAUUGUAUGUAAGUUUCUGUACAUUUAAUAAAAAAGACAGUUUGUA